GGCAGCGUGGCCUCGGGUGUAACCCGCGGCCGCGGCCACACCUUUUCCACGCUUUUUACCGCCCCCGUUAAACGGUUGGUAAUGACCAGAUCGGGCUCCUGACCUUGAGCAGCUCCAUAACCGGCUUCAUCAAAGGUUCCAACCAGGAUAAUCUCUACACAUUCCCUGCGUCUGUCGCCCCGCAUUACACAAAGCGACGUUCAAAUUCCAGCCGUACCGCUUGGCUUCUUAUGCAACCCUAGACAAGAGCUUUAACUCCUGUGGGCCUGUGUCCUUGUCUGGAACAGAAACACGAAGGGGGCGUACCUCACAAGGAUGUGGGGAGAAUUAAUAAGCAAGGCCGUGGUGCAGAGUGCCUGCACAUACGUGAGCAAGUAGGGGCAGAGCAGCAGAAGAAGUGGUCAAACUCACAGAGGAAGCAGGUGGCAGAGAUCGGCCAGGACUUGCAUAGGCCGAGUCCUCAAAGAAGAGCCUCUAACGGGAAGCAUGAGUCAUCGUUUCAAACCGUUCCCUACUAGACUAAACUCCAUGAGAACCGGGAGUCCUCAUUAAUCCUCACCGUAUCCCCAGUGCCCGGAACAGCACCUGGAACAUAGCGGAGGUUCCCUGCAGGCCGGGGCCACACUGUGCUUUGCCUCCAGCAGGGAAGACUGUGGGCACCACUGUAGAAACCGCGGCCGGAGCCGGGGACAAACAUGGCCCCCUGCCCACGGAGCGAGCAGGAUGCAAACGAGCAGUCCAGGGUUCUCACCUUCUGGCCCUGGAAGAGAAGGGGCUGGAGACUGUCUGCCGUGGCUCCUUCACCUUGAUCUCAGGCGAGAGGCCUGUGCCGCCCGAUAUGCCAGCCCGCCCCGGGGAAGGCAGCCAGAGGCCAGUGACCCCGCGUGUGGCUUGCGGGGACGGGGAUCUGUAUCUGUUCUGGUUAGGAAUGUUUUUGCUUCGAGUGAUAGAAAACCCAACUAAAGCAGCUUCGGCUUUGAAGAUGUUUACUUAUGCAAAUAAUAAGUCAGGGAAGAAAGGUCCGAGUUCCCGCGGACUCACACCCUGCCCUUUCUUGACUCCUUUGUCUUCCCCUCGCCGGUGCUUUACCGUCGGCCUCCCGGCCCCAAAAUGGCUGCUGAACUUCCACUCAUCACCACUGCAUUUAAAGGCAGGAAAUUCUGGUGCGGGUGUGUUGGGGUCAGGGCAUGGAGCAAAUUCUCACAACCUUCUCCCUUUCUGUAAGAAAGAAAAUCUUCCCCAGAAGCAACUUCUGCAGAUUCGCUUUUCUGUCUUAGUCUUAUUGGCCAGAAAGGAGCCACGUGCCCACCUGUACAUCAGGGACCGGUCUGACCUUCCCUGAGAUGAAGCCAUUCUCACCUAAUAGAUACCUGGACAAACAGAGGUUCUGUCCAGAAGGAAUAAAGAGUGUGGCUCUGGGUAGGCAACAGACAGUGCCCGGCACAAUCUCUAUCAUUUACAGGCUGAUGACUAGAAAAGUCGCUUAGCAUCUCUGAGACUCAGCUUCCUCAUCUGUAAAACGGGUCCAUCUUACAGAUGAGGACACCGAGGCUCAGAGAGGCACGGUGAGGGGGUCCCUCAUCAUGUAGCUGGUAAGCAAGGAGACGUGGGAUGGGAAGCCAUCAAGGUUCCGAUUAGACAAGUGACAUAAACUGGCUUUACAAGGGUGCCUCUGGCUGCUUUAUAAGGAAGAACGUUUU